rnacentral:lncRNA from 1 species
GAAGUGGGAGAAUUGCUGAAACCCAGGAGGUGGAGGCCGCAAUGAGCUGAGAUCAUGCCACUGCAUUCUAGCCUGGGAGACAGAGACUCUGUCUUGAAGAAAGCAAAUUUAUUUUGUUUCUUCCAGAAUCGAAGCUAUAAAACUACAAAUGAUUCUUCAAAUGGAGCCUCCAAUGCAGUCCAUGGCUGAGAUCUACUGCGGACCCCUGGACCA